AAGUCGUACGAGAGCUUUUAGCUCUAGUGGCGGACGGGUGAGUAACACGUGGGCAACCUGCCCCAGAGAGCGGGACAACCCGGGGAAACCCGGGCUAAUACCGCAUGAUGCGUCUCCGCUCAAGUGGAGACGCCAAAUGGUAGCUUCGGCCUCCGCUCUGGGAUGGGCCCGCGCCGGAUUAGCUUGUUGGUUGGGGUAAUGGCCCACCAAGGCGACGAUCCGUAGCUGGUCUGAGAGGACGAUCAGCCACACUGGGACUGAGACACGGCCCAGACUCC
rnacentral:rRNA from 2 species